UAGGGAAUCUUCCGCAAUGGGCGAAAGCCUGACGGAGCAACGCCGCGUGAGUGAUGAAGGUCUUCGGAUCGUAAAACUCUGUUAUUAGGGAAGAACAAAUGUGUAAGUAACUAUGCACGUCUUGACGGUACCUAAUCAGAAAGCCACGGCUAACUACGUGCCAGCAGCCGCGGUAAUACGUAGGUGGCAAGCGUUAUCCGGAAUUAUUGGGCGUAAAGCGCGCGUAGGCGGUUUUUUAAGUCUGAUGUGAAAGCCCACGGCUCAACCGUGGAGGGGCAUUGGAAACUGGAAAACUUGAGUGCAGAAGAGGAAAGUGGAAUUCCAUGUGUAGCGGUGAAAUGCGCAGAGAUAUGGAGGAACACCAGUGGCGAAGGCGACUUUCUGGUCUGUAACUGACGCUGAUGUGCGAAAGCGUGGGGAUCAAACAGG
rnacentral:rRNA from 2 species